ACUCCUACGGGAGGCAGCAGUAGGGAAUAUUGCGCAAUGGGGGAAACCCUGACGCAGCAACGCCGCGUGGAGGAUGACACUUUUCGGAGCGUAAACUCCUUUUCUUAGGGAAGAAUUCUGACGGUACCUAAGGAAUAAGCACCGGCUAACUCCGUGCCAGCAGCCGCGGUAAUAC
rnacentral:rRNA from 1 species